UGAGGGGAAAAAUGCAUACUUUUCAACAAACUUCUCAACUGAACUACCAAUAAGUGACGGCAAGUCACUUAAUGAGUGAGUCAUUGAGUCUCUC